rnacentral:rRNA from 1 species
GAUGAACGCUGGCGGCGUGCCUAAUACAUGCAAGUCGAGCGAAGCGGGGACGGGUGAGUAACACGUGUAUAACCUCAUAUAAAACGGGGAUAACUUCGGGAAACCGGAGCCAAACCGGAUAUUUCUAGUUGGAUCCUCGCUGCAUUAGCGAGUUAGGAAGGUAACGGCUUACAAAGGAAACGAGGCAUAGCCGACCUGAGAGGGUGAUCGGCCACACUGGAACUGAGACACGGUCCAGACGCCUACGGGAGGCAGCAGUAGGGAAUCUUCCGAAAUGGGCGAAAGUCUGACGGAGCAACGCCGCGUGAGUGAUGAAGGUCUUCGGAUCGUAAAACUCUGUUAUUAGGGAAGCGGUACCUAAUCAGAAAGCCACGGCUAACUACGUGCCAGCAGCCGCGGUAAUAC